CCUACGGGUGGCAGCAGUGAGGAAUAUUGGUCAAUGGCCGUAAGGCUGAACCAGCCAAGUCGCGUGAAGGAAGAAGGAUCUCUGGUUUGUAAACUUCUUUUAUAGGGGACUAAAGGUAUCUACGUGAGGAAAUAUCCAUGUACCCUUUGAAUAAGCAUAGGAUAACUCUGUGCCAGCAGCCGCGGUAAUACGGAGGAUGCGAGCGUUAUCCGGAUUUAUUGGGUUUAAAGGGUGCGUAGGUUGUUUUUUAAGUCAGCGGUGAAAGUUUAUGGCUCAACCAUAAAAGUGCCGUGGAAACUGGAAGGCUUGAGUGUGUUUGAGGUAGGCGGAAUGCGUAGUGUAGCGGUGAAAUGCAUAGAUAUCACGCAGAACUCCGAUUGCGAAGGCAGCUUACUAAGCCAUAACUGACACUGAGGCACGAAAGCGUGGGGAUCAAACAGGAUUAGAUACCCCUGUAGUC
rnacentral:rRNA from 1 species